rnacentral:rRNA from 1 species
GACAGAGGCCACAAGCGUUAGGCGGAAUCACUGGGCUUAAAGCGUGUGUAGGCGGAUCGUUAAGUGCCUUGUGAAAUCCCACCGCUCACCGGUGGAACGGCUGGGCAUACUGGCGGUCUUGAGCCAUCUAGGGGCGACUGGAACAAACGGUGGAGCGGUGAAAUGCGUAGAUAUCGUUUGGAACGCCAAAGGUGAAAACAGGUCGCUGGGGAUGUGCUGACGCUGAGACACGAAAGCCAGGGGAGCAAGCGGG